GUUACCCAUACUAUCUACCAAAACAAGAUUAAAUCCCUAAUUCAUUUUCCUCCAACGGCAGUCAUGGAGAAAAUUAAUCAAGCUGGAGCGGUGAGGGGGACUUCUUCUACGGCGAGGCUAUGGCAACUCGGUGACGGUGCAGCUUCGUGGUCGUUGCCGAGAGCAAGGUGACUUUGGUUUGAGAUGCAAAGGGAGCGUUAGUAGCGAUUCCUCACCAAUGAAGAGGUGGUGAUGCCUUAUUGGUGGCGGCACCGCUAUAGAUCCUCCAGAAACCCCUGGCUUUACAGUACGUAGAGGCUUAUGUAUCCAUUAUCGUUCAUGGCAAAUGAAGAAUAUCUAGUGGAACGGGAACGGGUGCUGCUGGUCUCUCUCAGCAUUAUCACUGUUUUGGGAUACGUUGUACUUUAAUUGGGGUUGAAUCCCAUCUUUGCAUCAUCACCAACGUUAUAUGGCAGCUGCUCAAUAAGAAACUCCAAUGUUAAAGUGUCAUCACAAUCCAUUUCAAUGUCUCAUGGCUUCUGGAUCAUAUAGCUUCUCUUGUAUAGAUUGGGUUACAACAUUUAGGCACUUUUUGUAAUUAUAUAUAUCUUAUAUUAAAGAUGAAAUGGUGUAUCAACUGUAUUUGGAUCAUUUUGAAACGAAAUGAAACGAUAAUUACAUUAAAGAAAAU